rnacentral:rRNA from 1 species
UACAGAGGUCCCGAGCGUUGUUCGGAUUCACUGGGCGUAAAGGGUGCGCAGGUGGCUUGACAAGUUUGAUGUGAAAUCUCCGGGCUUAACCCGGAAAAUGCAUUGAAUACUGUAUGAGCUAGAGGAUUGGAGGGGGGACUGGAAUUCUCGGUGUAGCAGUGAAAUGCGUAGAUAUCGAGAGGAACACCAGUGGCGAAGGCGAGUCCCUGGACAAUCCCUGACACUGAGGCACGAAAGCCGGGGGAGCAAACAGG